rnacentral:lncRNA from 1 species
CUUGAGAAGAAAAGGCGUACCUCUUUCAUCAGCUUUUUCCCACCCAUUAGAUCUUUCCGCAAAGUUUCGGUAGAGAAAUCAUCAAGCAAGUCGUCGGCAUCAUAAAGUACAUCUUUCAGGUCCUGAAGCCAAACUUUAACGAAAUUGUUGGUCACUGAUUUCUCUUCUGCAUCAAGGAGCACAGCUUUGAUGGUGGAGACAGUGGUUCGGAGGUCAUCGAGGUCAUCUUUGACAUUCCACCACAGUCCAAUUUGAGAGACAGCGAAGGAGCUCAAUUUAGUAAUAAGCUCUACGGUAAUGUCGGAAGCAAUUGCUUCGGCCAUUGUUGGUUCAAAAAAUGUUUGAUUACUGCAAGAGGAGGAGUAAAAUGAAAAUGAUUGGAACAAGAUGAAACACAGAUGUGGAUCCAUACAUGCAGAGACUAAGUAUUUUAUAGAUGAAAAUAAUAUUGGUCCACCAUGUUUCAUGUUUGACACAAUUUUUAUAAAAUAAAUUCAAUAUUCCAUUUAUUUUUUAAUUCCAAUUGCUUUCCACGAUGCAUUGAAAUUAUUCCCAUCACAUGCUGAAGGAAAUAAAAGCCAUAGAUGUAAUCAAAUUAUUAUAUACUAUGUGUCUGCGCUCAUACCUUAUUAUUGUUGUUGUUUUUAACCUCGCUAGAGCAUACAAAGAGAGUCUAAAUAUAAUUUGCUCAAUUUCUUAUAAAUAUGCUAACGCUCUUUUAUUAUAUUUUCCUUUUCUUAAAAAAACAAAAUAAAAAAUAUUAAUUUCAUAAUAAUGAAUAAAUAAAUGUAGCCUUAGCCCACUAAUUAGUGCAUGUUUUAUUUAUUCAAAAAGUGAGGCUAAAAAUCAUUGUUUUUCAAGUUAAAAUAAAAUACAAAAAUUAAGGUUAACAAACAUCAAUUUUCUAAAUUUAUAUGGUGCAACAAAUUACAUGGGCUUAAUUGCAAUUUUUUAAAAACAUUUCACGUAUGGUUAAUCAGUGUUUCCUUUGACCAUUUAUGGACGUUAGCGUUGCCCUCCAUUCUAUCAAGAAGUCCGUUCUCCAUAAUAAAACUUUCUAACUUAGAAACUGACCGUGAAUCGAUACCUUUUAAAUGCAAAAUGACAUGCACAAAAGAAAGAAAACAGUCAGUAUCAUAUAAUAUUAAUAAACAUAAAGAUAACCUAAGUAUAAUUCUAUCUAUAUUGAGCUCUUACGGUUUUUCUAUAUGUGGUUUGUUUCUAAAGUUUGAGGUACUCGAACCAGCAGAUUCCUCGAUCCUCACCCAUUAUAGGCUCAUUUGAAUCGAGUUCAGUUCAGGGGAAUACAUUUCCCUAUGGCUACAUGGAGAUGAAAAUCUCAUGAAACCAUAGGUAGUAUCCCGAAAGUGAUCCACUAUCCUGCACGGAGGCGAAAACCUCACGAAGGCAUAGCUUCUCACUCCCACUUAAGGGUGUGACCACAACGGUCAUGCAAAUGCAAUGCGUAUCAAAAUAUAGCAACACAUGCAAUAAUACAAACACAUGUAAUGCAAAGAGGAUUAAAUUUUAAUAUUUUUAAUUUCCGACAUUAAGACAAGAGAUAAUCAAUUACACGGCUUGACUCUCUUAUUAGUCCCCAGUGGAGUCGCCAAGCUGUCGAAACCAUUUUCUAAAUCGAGUUUUGGAAAAUGGGAAUCGAUUUUAAAAAAUGAAAACGGGAGUCGCCACCAAUCUUUUUAGGUGUGAUUGGAUCACCUUUAAAACAUUUUGUUUUAAAAUCAUUAGUUUUGGUCCAUGAAAUAAAAGAACGGAUUCGGGAGUCGGUUACGUACGAGGAAGGAUUAGCACCCUCGUAACGCCCAAAAAUUGGUACCUAAUUGAUUAUCAAAUGUCUUUAAUGUCGGAAAAUUAAAAAAUUUUAAGAUGUAAUCCUCUUUAAAAUACUUUGAUUUUGAAAAUUUGGGUUCACUCGUAUCAAAACAUUGACACUAAGUUAACCUUUUGGAAAUCCCUAUCUCGAAACGACAAAUCGCCACAUCCAAUAAGUUAGGACACAACACCUUGAAAUUCCAAGACAGUUGCUCGUAUUUUGAAAAUCUUAAAAACUUAGAAGGGUACUUGACUAUUCGAACUCAACGAGAAAAGUUGCAACCCAAUAAGUUAGGGCACUACUUUUCUCGAAGCUUUCAAAUACUAAGUAUUGCAUUUUUUAUUUUUAUAAAACUUUUAAAUAUUGUUUUAAAUGACCUUUUAGAGUGACAAUUCUAUAUUACGAAACAUAGAUAUUCAAAUAGCGUAUAUUACAAAGUAUUAUAACACUUUAUAUAAAUGCAAUCACUAUAUAGAGGGUCAAAUAGAAUAAUAAAAAUAAUCAUGCUAAGCAAAUAGGAAUAUACCCAAAAGAAAGCAUAAUAAAUGCACUAAUUAUAUACAAUAUAUCAUAAAUAAAACAUUAAAUAAUAUAAAAAACAUGGUAAAUAUUAAUGUGUAAAAUAUGUAUGAGUAAAAAUAGAUGACAUGCAUAGCAAAUGGAUAAAUAGAAUCUACAUAAAAUAUAAAAUAUACAAUCCAAUAAUUUAAUGUACAUAUGAAUGGAUUAAUAAAUGAAAUGAUGCAUAUAAUACAAUAUAUCAAUGUACAUAUAUAAAAAUAUGCAUUUGAAAGUAAAUUAUAAAAGUCUAAGAUAUUACAUAACAUAUGAAAUACAUAACAUAACAAUAAUACAUUAAUUCUAAAGUAAAAACAAAUAUUGUAUAAUAAUAAAAAAACAUAAGUUUUAAAAAUAUAUGUAUAAUAUAAACAAUUGAUAAAUAGAAUGAGCAUAUAAAAAAUGUGAUAUUUUAUAAUAAAUUUAAAAUAUAAUAUAUAAUAAAAAAUAUAUUUAUAAGAAUAAUAAUUAUAUAAAAAAUAUAAAAUAUAUUGGUUUAGAAAAAUAAUGUAUAAAAUAUCAAAUAUGUAAAAGAAUUUAUAUUUAUAAUGAAAUGAUUAUAUAAUAUAUAUACAUGCAUAGAAAAUAUAUAUUUGAAAAUAAACUAUAUAAAAAGGUUAAAUAUUAUGAUAUAUAAAAUACAUAAUCAAAUGUAUAAAAGAUAGAAAAAAAAUAUACAUAUUUGAAAAAUGAAGAAAUUAAAAUAAAAAAAGGGUUGAAAAACUAAGAUAGACGAAGAAUAAAAUAAGAACAAAGCAUAUAGAGUAAGAAUGCAAGAGGGAGAGAAAUUUGAGUGAAUGCUCACCAGAAUUCUUAUUGCUUCCCAAAAACUCAAGUGAUUUACAAUGAAGGGAGAGACCUCUAUUUAUAGUUGAGCCUCCCCAGAUCCAACGGUACAGAUCAAUUACAUCAACGGUUAAGAUUAAAGGAUAUCUACAAAUUAAAUCUCCAAGAUUACAAAAUCAUAUCUUCUAAGAUUGUAUAUCAUAUCUAAUAUUGCAAUCAUAUCUAAGAUUGUAUCAUAUCUAAGAUUGUAUCAUAUCUAAGAUUGCAUAUCACAUCUAAGAUUGCAUAUCAUUGAAGAUUAUAUUUCCAUAUGAGUCAAGCUUGUAGAUGGACCUUAAAUCUUUUCAAGUAAUGGGUCAUUCCGAUCGAGCCAAAUUAUAUUUGUAAUUUUGGACUGAACUUGGACUUCGUUUUUUUUUGGGGUUUAUUAUUUUAAAUACUGAAAUGAGUCGGGAAAAAUUGAGUGUCUACAUAUAUAUAUAUAUGAACCACAAUUCAAGUUUCAUGUGUAGACAAAUUCAAUUGUGCAUCCCUGCAUUUGAAUACUGUUUGGAAUAUUAAAAAUGUGUUUUUCAUGAGUUGGUACAUAUUAUUUGACAAGGAAAUAAAGAACACAAUUAAGAUGUUUACGCAGUUCAGAACUCGUCUUACUGUCUGCAGGGUCUUGCCCAAAGGUGAAUACACUAUGAACUUCACAGUACAAAGAAAUGAUUUAAGCCUAACCCCUUGAACACUUGAUGCAAUCUCACUUUUAUACAAUUAGGUAAACUCUCUCCCAACUCAUUUUAGCUAUGCAAGUGAAAAUCAACAUUCGACACUCAAAGGUGUACAACAAUAGCACUCAAUAAUAGUUCUUACUAUGAACAUGUGUGCUUCUUAAAAUUCACACAUCACUCAUAAAAUAAAUCAUCUAUAUAUGUUAAAUAUGACUCCUAUUUUCAGUCAAAUUUGAAAAAUAGUCUUUCAGUUAAACUCUGUUUACUUGUUUCAAUCAAACACUGAUUAGUUUAGAUUAUUUUAUUAUUAUUUGAUUUAUGAAUUUAGCCUAUAAAUAGGCUCUUUUACAACCUUAGAAAAACACCCAUUAGAGAUUAGAACUCAUAACACAUUUAGAGAAUUUUGUGUUUACGUUUUGUGGGUUCUUUGUUUUCGGGUUUUUGGAGUUUAGUUUUUAUCUCCAUCUUUUGUACUCUUCGUUCUUUUGUCAUUAUAGUAAAAUUAUCUUUGCCGGUGGUUUUUUAUCCUCUUUGGAGGGGUUUUUUCACGUUAAAUUUGUGUGUUCAAUUUCUCAAUUUAUUCUGCUAUUUUCUUGUUCGUUACUUAAUCGGGUUAAAAUCCUAACAAUAUAUAAGCUUGAGGAUUAAUGAAGCUCAUUCCAUAUAAAUAGAAACAAUAAAUUUCCAAAUGCAAUAUCUCUAACCAUUGUCAUGUUUGAAUUAGGAGUCUUCCAAAAGCAACAAUGAACCUGGACAUUAUAAAUUCCAACAUAGAAUAUGUUACUAACUCCCAUCAUUUAUUUACACCUCAAAACCUUUUGCAAAAGAGAUUUAAUUUAUUUUUUUACUAAAAUACUCACCAUUAUCAGCAUUAUGUUUGCACAUAUGUGUGUCCUUGUUCAUAUAAAAAUAAUGAAACAUUUUAUGAACCUCAACCUCACCACCAAAUAUUCUGAAGCAACUUCCAUUCCUUCCUGUUUGGACCAUCAAUAACAAAUUUAGCUGAAAUUCCAAACACCUAAAAGGGUGAUUGUGAAUUUGAACGCCUCCAAUAGCCUGUGAAUAGCAUAGGUACCAUCUAAGAUAGUAAUGAUAGGUAAGUGCUUAAAUUUGGAAAACGAACAAAGCAGAGCAUAUAGUACAACCAUUUUGAAGGGUAGCAUGCAAGCUUCAUAGGCCUCUCUCUCCGCAUCAAUGAUUUUUUUAGAAUUAAAUUAUUAGAAGCCCUUAAAUUGAAGUCUAUGAAAUGAGAGAUAUGAAAAGAAGAACUAACCAUGCCGUCCUAUUUCAUCAUUGCAAUUCUCAAAUUAUUAUGAUUUUAAAGUGUAAAGUAAUUAGAUGUAUUACCACCUCUUUUUAUGCAUAUAAAUUAUUGAAGUUGACAAAUGCCAUUCCCCAAACUACUCUCCAAUGCCUUACUGUACAAAUUAGCAAAAUAUUAUGAAAGAUGGUAAGUAAACAGUAGGAUUAAAACAAAGGAAUUUCAAUUUAUUUGAGAUGUCAAAUGAAUACUAGUUUAAUAGUAUCCAACUUGAAUGAAAAAUGGCAUGAGAGCCCAGAGUUGGAGACUAAAUAUACCACUCAAAGUUUUCUUUUUAAAAAAAUACAGUUAUUGUGAUAUCUUCAGUUCGGGUCAGUUGUUUAGGUCGGGUUAAGGAGAUUACAGAAUGAGGUAAAAUUUUCAAUAAUAAAGAAAUAAAAAUCAUUACCCCACUUACAAAAAAAACAAAUAAAUGUAUAUUAAAAUAAUUAAAAUGCUACUACCAUUAAUAAUUAGUGGACUUUAUCUUAAUUAAAUUGAAAAUAGCUCACAAGGCAAAAAUUAAAAAUAUAUAGACAUCUCUUCUCCCCUUGCAAGCUUGAGAUGUUGAGCUACGAUAAUUGUUGAAAUAAUACAAUCCCAUAUUAAAAAAAUACAAGGUCGUAGAGUGCUUGUACUAUUAUAAAUAAAUGCACUUUCUCCACUUUUAAAUCAUCCAAAAAAUUGACAUUUUCUUCAAAAGAAAUUUUCCCUCUUUCUAUUUGUAAAUCUUUAGCAAUGAAAUAUAUUUGGCUGUGUUUGAGGAUAUAAGUGUAAUUUGCUGAAUCUUGUUAAAUUUCUAGUGUUUUUUUAUUAUUAUGAUUUUCUAGAACAAUAAUUUACUUUCUUUUAUCUUAUUUGCACAAUACUAACCUUAUUCAUAUAAUAUUAAUUUUACCCAAAAUUUUCUUCUUCAACAAAGAAACUAAUGCUCAAUUAAAACAAAAACCCUAAAAUACAAAAGUUAAUAGAAGAUAAAAGGAAGACACCGAAUCUAGGUAUAAUUGUUUUGUAUUGCAGGGCAUCCAUAUUUUCAUCCUCAACAUUUGGUAUGUGAAGGGAGCUAAGCUAAGCAUUCAACCAAUCAUUAGGUGCUGAAGCGCUUUCAUUAAAUGAUAGUUUUAGAUAAUAUACACAAAAUUGCCUAAUAAUUAGUUGUGUUUCCAUGUAUUGGAACAUUAUCUAAAACACAAAAAGAGAAAAAUAUAGUUUUUCUUAAGUUGACACACACAAGUAAAAAUAAAGAAGAAUAAAAAACACAACCAAGAUUUUACGCAGUUCGGAACUCAUCCUACGUCUGCGGGACCUUGUCCAGAGAUGAAUUCACUAUGAACUUUACAGUACAAAUAAAUUAUUUAUGCCAACCCUCCAAACUUGGUGCAACCUCACCUUUGUACAAUUAACUAAACACUCUUCCAACUUACUUUAGCUAUACAGAGGGAAAUCAACACUGAAAAAGUGGCACUUAAUAAUAGUUCCUUACUAAAUGUUCCUUUAAAUCCUCACAUCACCCACGAAACAAAUCAUCUAUAUAUAUAAGCUCCAGGAUCAACCAAGCUUUACAUAAAUAUUUCUUCUGGAAUCUCAAUGCGAUGAGACAUUGCAAUCCUCAGAAAGAAAGGAAGGAAGAACUUGGGUAAUGGCAGGGUGUUUAUUAGUGAGCUAAAGAUAUCAAGAUCUCCAAGGUGGCUUCUAGCCCAUCAAUUUUCUCUAUAUAGCAACAAUGAACCUGCAAAUUAUAAAUGCCAAUACAUAUUAUGUUAAAAUUUAUGUCAUUUAGACUGAGCAGUGUCCUAAUGUAGAAGAAACACUUACUUUUACUAAAUAGAACUUUAUAUUAUGUGCAUGAAUGGUGGCUAACCACAAAGCCGUUGUCUAUGAUUUUCCACUCUAAGUUUUACGAAAGGGCCAAACAUUGGGCAUUGUCAUCUGUAAUAGUAACAAAUUCCCAUCUCCAUUAGUCUUCACACCUCAAAACGUACUGCAAAAGGGAUUUAAUUAUUUUUUACUAAAAUACUCACCAUUAGCAACCUUACAUAUGUGCUCUUUUAACAAAUUAUCUAUAUAUAAGCUUCGGGAUGGACCAAGCUUUACAUAAGCUCCAUGUAAACUGAAAUAACAAAUUUUCAAAUGCAAUAUCAUUCAGCCUAUCUUCAAUUGUCAUGCUUGAAGUAGGACUCUUCCAAAAGCAACAACGAACCUGGAAACUAUAAAUGCCAAUAUAGAAUAUGUUCAAAUUUAUCUAUUUUAGACCAAGCUGUGUCCAACGUAGAAACACUUACUGUUACAAAACCCAACUUUAUAUCAUGUGCAUCAAUGGUGGCUAACCACAACCCCGUUGUCUAUCCUUUUCCAGUGCAAGCUUAACAAAGGGCCAAACAUUGGGCAUCAUCAUCAUCAUCUGUAAUGGUAACAAAUUCACAUCCCAGUUAGUAUUAAUAUAUUGUUGUUCAUCUAUAAAUAAUGAAAACAUUUUAUCAACUUUAAAAUUCUAACAGCUAAAAGGGGUGCCUGCAUCAAAGAAUAUUGUGAAAUACCCCCCUCUCCCCCCUCCAUUUUCAUCAAACCUUAACCCCCUAGCCCCUAUUCAAAUUACUUACUUGACAACCACAUUGCGUGUUUAAGCUCUCUCGAACACAACUCCCAAGAAUCUGUCAAUAGCAUAGGUACCAUAUAAGCUGCUGACAUAUAUAUUACAACUCUUGAAAUACUCCAUAUAUAUAAUUUAUAUCAGAUCAACUGGGAAUUACAAGGAAACUGAUGACAUAUAUUACCAUUUUUGUUUUGUUGGAAUAUUUUGGCAGAUGAACAGAUGGUAGUUGAACAUAUAUUACCUCUGCUUCUUGUAAUAUCUGCUAUGCGCUGCGGAAGAAGAAAGCGAAAAUUUAACAAAAAUUAGGAUUAGAUCAUCAGAGGGACUCUUAAACAAAGAAAAAAAGAAAAAGAAAGAACAAAUGUGCAUAGAGAGGAGGAUUUCAUGGGAGUACAAUGCCAUGGACAGAUCAGCUGAUGAAGAAUGCAUGUCCUUCUUUUUGGCUCUUCCAUUGAACACAUGCUGAAAAAGAAGAAGCUUAGUUAGGGGGUUAUAUUAGAUCAUUUGAAAUUGUGAGAUUGUUGUGAUUUAAACACCUCUUUUUCUGCAUCUAAAUAUCUGGGUAGAAAACAAAUCCGGGUAGAAAGUAUGGUCUCUGCUUUUUGUAUUGCAUGCUAUGCUCUGCCGAAGAAUAGACUUCACACUAAAUCUACAUUAUUCGAUUUUGUUUUAUUGAAUCAAAUAGAAAAUAGAAGAAAAGAAAUGAGUGAUAUGAAUUACCUGCCAUUCCUUGUUGACGUAUACACAAUAGGAUUUCAUCACAUCAUUGCAAUGGUGAGAAAAUAAAAAUAAAAAAAUUAGUGGAAGAUAAAAGAAGACAUUGGUAAUUAAAAAUUAGCAAAAUAUUACGAAAGAUAGUAACUAAAAAGUAGGAUUAAAACAAAGGAAUUUCAAUUGAAUAAUAUUUCAACAGUAAGCAUCCAACUUGAAUGAUAUUUGAAUGAAAAAUUGCAUGAGAAACCAGAGUUAACAAACCUGAUUAACCACUGAAUUUUUUCUUGAAAAUAAAUUAAGGACAUAAAAAUAAAUAAAUGGAAAGGAUGUACCAACCUGAUAACAAGUAAUAUGUGGGAUGUGAGCAAUUUUAUGCCAAUCAGCGCCAAUGUCCUUCCGACAUCUUUCCACCAACUGAGGAACUCUUCUCAUUUUUAACAAUUGCAAAUUGGUUAGGCAACGCAUCUCGUCCGGAAGCGAUGUUAAAUUUGGAAAAUUCCAGAGAUGGAGCUCUUGCAGAUUUGUUAAAUGUUGAAUCCACUCCGGAAGUUGCCAACACUUCGGAAUACUUGUCAGAAAUAGGGAGCGCAGGCUUGUAUGAUCUUGGAAUAUUUGGAACUUAGGUGCUGAUAACUCCAGCUCCUCGCAAACCCUUAUUGAAAACUCUUCAAGGGAAGUGAGAUGUUGGAACACAGGAAACAGUGACCUCAAUCCACUGCAACUAUGGAUUUUUAAUGUUUUCAAUUCAACAAGAUGUUGAAGCCCAAGAGGGAGAGACACCAGCUUUGGAAUAUUAUCAAUCACCAAAUAAGAGAGAUUCUUAAGGGGUUCCCAUUGCAUGCCCUCUAAAUCAACCUUCGUGCAACCAUUUAUUGUUAAUCUUUUGAGGCUGGUGAGAUGUUGCAGGUACUCAUCUAGCAUGGGAGUGUCCAGAUCCUCCAUAUUCUUUACCUGGAAAGAUUUCAAUUUGGAGAGAGGAAAAGAAGAGGUUGAACUUGAUGGGGUCUUAGCAUUCAUCUUCAUCUUGAUAGUCUGCUUAAACGGCCUUGAACUGGUAUUCUCCAACGUUAGAUUAUCAUCGACUGAUGGAUACAACGGCAUUGAAGUCAAAGGGCAAUUUUCAAUCCAUAAACUGGAAAGACAAGGAAAUGCCAUGGUUGACGUUCCCACAACUGUUGUGUCGUUCUCGUUGGAAUCAUCAUCGAUUGGUUUUGUCGUCCUCCACCAACUCUUCAUAUUCCGGCAAUUCUUCAGGUGAAGAUACUUGAGCAAUGGGAAGAAUGAUUCAGGUUCUCCUUGACUUCCUUUUGGGCUAUUAUCAUCCAUGUACUCCAGCUCAGAACAAUCACGAAUCGUCAAAUUUUGAAGACAAGGCAAUUGAGCAACGGACGGGAGAUAUUUGAAUUUAUUGGGACCCCAUAUGUUAAUAAAAACGACAUUUGUGAGCAAAGAAAGCCAACUUGGAAAUUUGGCAUCACCCCCCCAUCCAUCGAUACAGAGCUCCUCGAGAUUAGGAUGGGGCUGGAGGUCUUCAAGCAACUUAUUGUCAUCAUCAUCGUUAUCACCAUUCCAUUCUAAAAUCAACGAUCCCAAAUGUUGCUUCCCUUUCAAAAUAGGAGUCUUAAACUUCUCUUUUACAUUUUUUACAAAUCUCAAAUUUGUUAUUCUAAGUUGUCCCCUUAAGUUGUUAAGCCCACUCAAUUCACUUAGAUCUGCACCGUCAGGGGAACCAUCUCUAUCCACUACAAACAUGCUUAACUCCUCAAGUGAAGUCAGCUUCCCUAUUCCACUUGGCAUGUGAGUUAAACUCUUACAUUCAGAACAUGUAAGAUGGGUAAGAUUCACCAAAUUUUCAAUCUUCUUCGGCAAUUCUUCAAGCAGAUAACACUCGUCAAGUUUCAGCGCUUGCAAAUUUUGUAUCUUGCAAAUACUCUUUGGGAGAAUCUCACCACCAUUGCAAGAAAGAUCAAGGUACCUCAAAUGUUUCAACUUAUGAAUGGAAAGUGGAAUUGUACUAAAAUAAAAAAAAUUUCAAUUUUAAGACACGCAAACAUCUAUAAUUUGAAAUUAUAAAAUGCCAAAUUUUGUCCCUCUUAUCUAGAUUUGUCUUACUUGAAAAUUGUAACAAGGUUCGCAACUUCUUUCCUUUAAAUAAAGGAAUUAAUGAAUCGUCAUUAAUUGAUAUAUGACGACAUUUUUCAUCAACCUCACUUGCACUUGAAUUUGAAACUACAAUACCACUCUCUUUCCCUGCUAUAAAUUCAGCUAGAUCAUGCAUUAAAUCAUGCAUUUUACAUGUCAUAAUUAAGUGUCUUUCUUUUACUUCUUGAAAGAAACUUCUUUCAGCCAAUUCUUUAAAAUACCCAAACCCAAUCUCAUGAAGAGAUUGUGUUCCAUUUGAUUGUUUUACGAAACCUUGUGCAACCCAAAAUUGAACAAGCGUUUGUACAUCAAUUUCAUAAUCUUUUGGAUACAAUCGGCAACAAGCAAAGCAAUGCUUCAAAUGGGCCGGGAGAUGAUCAUAACUCAAGUGUAGGUAGAAUAUUACCUUCGUUUUGAGAUAUUCUAGCAAGUUCAUUAUCGCCACUCCUUUUCUGUUUCUUUGUAAGAUAAUGUACUUGCUAUCGUCCUUAUGACUAAAGGAACCCCUGUUGGAACAUUUUCAAAUAUUUAUAGUAUCCCAAUAACUAUAAAUGAAUGGGUGUAAUUAAUCAAAAGAUAAAUCUUUUAGUCAUUGGUCAAAAGUUAUAUCAUUUGAUUUUUAAAAAAAAAAGAAUUAUAAUUAUUCAAAAAAUAUUAUUUGAAUAGUUACAAAUUAAAUGAAUAAUUAUUAUUAUAUAUUUAUUCAUAAAGACACCUAUUGAAAGAUGUCUCUAUGAAGAGAUAAGAAAAUUCCUAUAAAUAGGAAUGGGUUUUCAUUUGGAAAUAUAUCAACAAAUUCUAAUAUUAUUUCUUCUCUUCCUUCAUUUUCUAAUAUUAUUAGAUUAUUCUAUAAAGUAUUACUGUAGAAAUCCUUUGUAGAAAUUGAGUUUUUGUUACACAUUACUCAGUGCAUAGUGGACUAUUCUCGUCAGUGCAAAACGCAAAUAGUCAUUGGCUUCAUUGUAUCCUCGAGGUUAAUUUGCUUGGAACUCAUUUGCACACUGAAGAUAAGUGGGGGCGAAUAUAACCUUAAAGAUAGUGGCUUGAUACACGCCUUAGAGCCUUGUCCUAUUUCUUCUUUUUCUUUUCGAGUUCCGAUCGUGUGUUCGAGAUUUUCCUUACCGGAGUUUUGUAAUAACAAUUUUAAGGUUAUAAUUCAUGAUGACUACCACAACACAUGAAAGUGGAACACUAAGGGAGUUGGCUUCCAACUUUGUUAAACUUGAUCGUUUUGAUGGUGGCAAUUUUCGACGAUGGCAGAAAAAGAUGCACUUUUUGUUAUCAACUUUGAAGAUUGCUUAUGUUUUGGAUACUCCAAGACCUGAAGAGAAUGAAAACGAAUCUGUUGCUGCAACCCGAGUAAGACAAAAAUGGGACAAUGCUGAUUACAUGUGCGUGGGCCACAUAUUGAAUGGUUUAUCUGAUGGUUUGUUCGACAACUACCAAAACGACGUCACAGCUAAAGAAUUAUGGGACAAAUUGGAGGCAAGAUACAUGACCGAAGAUGUUACAAGUAAGAAAUUUCUUGUCAGUCGUUUCAAUAAUUAUCAAAUGGUUGAUGGUCGUUCUGUUAUGGAACAAUUUCGUGAUAUUGAAAAGAUGCUGAAUCAAUUUAAGCAAUAUGAUAUGAAAAUGGAUGAAAUGAUUGUGGUAUCCUCUAUAAUAGACAAACUUCCUCCAUCUUGGAAAGACUUUAAAAGAAGUCUAAAACAUAAGAAAGAGGAAAUAUCUCUUGAGGCUUUGGCAAAUCAUCUUCGUAUUGAAGAAGAGUAUCGAAAACAAGAUCAGAACCUAAAUUCUGAAAAUGCCAAAGUACAUGUUACGGAGGAAGUACAGACUACUAAACCAUUCAAAAGAAAGUUCAAUCAGGCUGAUAGAGCACCUAAGUUCAAAAAGAAACAAAAGGGCUCAUGCUAUCAUUGUGGAAAGCCAGGACAUUUCAAGAAUGAAUGUCGAUUUUUAAAGAAGAAAUCAUCUUCUAAGGCUGAUAAUAACGAAAAGUUCGUUGCAAUGAUAUCUGAAAUUAAUAUGGCACAAGAUGAUAAUACAUGGUGGAUUGAUACCGGAGCAACCAAACAUGUGUGCAAAGACAAAAGCAUGUUCACAAAGUUCACACAAUGUGAAAAUGACAAUGUCUUGUACAUGGGAAAUUCUUCCACCGCAACAAUUAAAGGCAAAGGGUCUGUUGAACUACAAUUCACUUCUGGAAAGGUUUUAACCUUAAAUGAUGUAUAUUAUAUACCAGAAGUUAGGAAAAAUUUAGUGUCUAGAAGUCUGUUGAAUAAGUUUAGUUUCGAACUUGUUUUUGAGGCAGAUAAGUUUAUUUUGUCUAAGGGAGGAAUUUUUGUGGGAAAAGGGUAUAUGUAUGAAAGCAUGUUCAAACUUAAUAUUAUUAAUAAGAAUAAAAAUACUAUUUCUGCUUAUAUGGUUGAAUCAUUUUGUUUGUGGCAUUAUAGAUUAGGUCAUUUGAAUUAUAGAAAAUUGAAUGACAUGUAUAAAUUAGAUUUAAUUCCUGUUUUUAAUAAUAAUAUUGAAAAAUGAAAUACCUGUAUGUUGACUAAAAUUACAAGAAAUCCUUUCCCUAAGGUUAAAAGGAAAACAAAAUUGCUUGAUUUGAUACAUAGUGAUUUAUGUGACUUGCAUAAUACUCCUACAUUAGGUGGAAAGAAAUAUUUUGUUACUUUUAUUGAUGAUUGUUCUAGAUAUUGUUAUGUAUAUUUAUUGCAUUCAAAAGAUGAAGCGCUUGAUAAAUUUAAAAUUUAUAAAUCUGAAGUUGAACUUCAGUGUGAAUCAUUUAUCAAGUGCUUAAGAUCGGAUAGAGGUGGAGAAUACUAUAAUCCAAGUUAUUUUGAACUCACUGGAAUUGUCCAUCAAGUUUCAGCCCCUUACACACCACAACAAAAUGGUGUAGCUGAAAGGAAAAAUAGAGUCUUGACUGAAAUGGUAAAUUCAAUGUUAUCAUAUUCAAGUCUUGGACAAGGUUUUUGGGGAGAAGCUGUUCUAACAGCUUGUCACAUAUUGAAUAGAGUUCCUAAUAAGGAAACUAAAAUAACCCCUAUGAACAAUGGGAGAAAAGGAAACCAAACCUUAAUUAUUUGAAGGUUUGGGGUUGUAGAGCUAUUGUAAAAGUUCCAACACCUAAACGUAAAAAGUUAGGUGAAAGAGGAAUUGAAUGCAUAUUUAUAGGUUAUGCACAUAAUAGCAAGGCAUAUAGGUUCAUGGUAAUUGAACCAAAUGAUUCAAUUUCAAUUAAUACUGUUAUUGAAUCAAGAGAUGCUAUUUUUGAUGAAAAUAGAUUUAAUUCUAUAUCAAGACAAUUACAACCACAACAAUUGAUUCAUUCUUCAAAUGAGAAUGAGAUUCCAUUGAAACAAAUUGAUAAUAAUGAUGAAUCUUGUCAAGAAUUAAGAAGAAGUAAGAGGAUUAAAAAGGUAAAAGAUUUUGGACCAGAUUUCAUUAUGUUUCUUGUAGAAGGAAAAGGGUGAAAGUAUAUGCAAUAAGAUACCUUAUUAUUAUAAUACCGAAUCUGAUCCUAUUACAUUUGAAGAGGCAGUGAAAUCUCAAGACUCUGCUUUUUGGAAAGAAGCAAUAAAUGAUGAGAUGGAUUCAAUAAUGGGAAAUCAAACUUGGAUCUUAGUUGAUCUUCCACCAGGUUCCAAACCAAUAGGUUGUAAAUGGAUCUUCAAAAAAAAAAUGAAGGUCGAUGGAACCAUUGAUAAAUUUAAAGCAAGGUUGGUAGCAAAAGGUUUUACACAAAGACAAGGUAUUGAUUACUUUGAUACCUAUGCUCCAGUAGCAAGAAUUGCUACAGUUAGACUAUUAAUAUCACUUACCUCUAUAUAUAAUUUGGUUGUUCACCAAAUGGAUGUUAAAACUGCAUUUUUAAAUGGUGAAUUGGAAGAGGAAGUGUACAUGGAGCAACCGGAAGGAUUUGUUGUUCCAGGACAAGAGCAUAAGGUAUGUAAGCUUGUUAAAUCUUUAUAUGAGCUUAAACAAGCACCAAAACAAUGGCACCAAAAGUUUGACAAGGUUGUUUUAGCUAAUGGCUAUAAAAUAAAUGAAUCCGAUAAAUGCAUAUAUAGCAAAUUUGAUAAUGGAAAGGGUGUCAUAAUUUGCUUAUAUGUAGAUGACAUGCUCAUUUUUGGCACGGAUUUGGAACAAAUAGAAAACGCAAAGAAAUUCUUGUCAAACAACUUUGCUAUGAAGGAUAUGGGUGUAGCAGAUGUUAUUCUUGGGAUUAAAAUAACCCGAGAUGAAAGCACUAUAGCUUUAUCACAAUCACAUUACAUUGAAAAUGUGCUUAAAAAGUUUGAUCUCUUCAACUGUAUACCAGCAUCUACACCCAUGGAUCCUCAAUUAAAAUUAGUAUCUAAUGCUGGUAGGAAAAUUGAUCAAUUGAAAUAUGCAAGUCUAAUUGGUUGUCUUAUGUAUAUAAUGACUUGUACAAGACCAAAUAUUGCAUAUACUGUUGGAAAAUUCAGUAGGUACACAAGUAAUCCAAGUAGUUUGCAUUGGCAAGCUUUGAAUAGAGUACUUAGGUACUUAAAGAAAACUAUUAACUACGGAUUGUGUUAUAAUGGAUAUCCUCCAGUUUUAGAAGGGUAUUCGGAUGCUAGUUGGAUUACAAGUUUGGAAGAUCAUGCAUCUACUAGUGGAUGGAUCUUCAUUCUUGGUGGAGGAGUUAUUUCUUGGGGUUCCAAGAAACAAACAUGUAUUACUGAUUCCACCAUGGCAGCAGAAUUUAUUGCAUUAGCCGCUGCAUCUAAAGAAGCAGAAUGGUUAAGAAAUUUGCUUUAUGAUGUACCUUUAUGGCCUAAGCCAAUUUCACCUAUUUCUAUCCGUUGUGAUAGUGAGACUACUCUAGCAAAGGCAUAUAGCCAAGUACAUAAUGGAAAGUCUAGACACAUUGGAUUAAGACAUAGUUAUGUCCGACAAUUAAUCUCUGAUGGAGUGAUCACUAUUAAUUAUGUGAGGUCAAGUGAAAAUUUGGCAGAUCCUUUGACAAAAAGUCUUGCUAGAGAUGCAAUAAAAAGGACCUCAAAAGGGAUGGGACUCAAGCCUAUUAAUUAGAGUCACCCAUGAUGGAAACUCGACUCAACGCUUGGUAUAACGUCAAGUCUUGAGUUCAAUGAGACAAAGUACAUCAUUAGUAUGUGACUGUUAGCACUAUAAAUAAAUUCAUCCUAUGAUUAAAGUGCUAGGUACCCGUAAUGAUAAGGGAAGGAUGAGUAAUAUACUCUUAAUGGACCCAUAGCAUAAAUAUGUUAGAGUGUUAUAAUUACGGGAACACUUUUGAUGGGAUCUACCUAUGUGAGUGGAAGUGUGGCCGCUUCUAGGAGCUUAAGGGCUUGGCUCUGACAGCACUCAUGAAAAGAGGACAUAGACACAUGGCCAUAAUAGUGUCCCUAGAUACUAAGCAUUGACUGAUGUUGAAAUCAUUGUGUGAGAUGUGUUCAGUUAAUCAAAUUGAAUAGUUGGUUCAAAGCUUAGUCUACCACGCAAUUUCGAUUAACUUUAACAUGUUUUUCACUAAGUGAAGGUUCAAUCGUAAGACACCUUUAUUUAUGCAAAUUGAUUUCCAAGAAUAUCAAAAUCUAAAUAUUUUGAAAAUGGGGGGAGAUUGUUGGAACAUUUUCAAAUAUUUAUAGUAUCCCAAUAACUAUAAAUGAAUGGGUGUAAUUAAUCAAAAGAUAAAUCUUUUAGUCAUUGGUCAAAAGUUAUAUCAUUUGAUUUUUUAAAAAAAAGAAUUAUAAUUAUUCAAAAAAUAUUAUUUGAAUAGUUACAAAUUAAAUGAAUAAUUAUUAUUAUAUAUUUAUUCAUAAAGACACUUAUUGAAAGAUGUCUCUAUGAAGAGAUAAGAAAAUUCCUAUAAAUAGGAAUGCGUUUUCAUUUGGAAAUAUAUCAACAAAUUCUAAUAUUAUUUCUUCUCUUCCUUCAUUUUCUAAUAUUAUUAGAUUAUUCUAUAAAGUAUUACUGUAGAAAUCCUUUGUAGAAAUUGAGUUUUUGUUACACAUUACUCAGUGCAUAAUGGACUAUUCUCGUCAGUGCAAAACGCAAAUAGUCAUUGGCUUCAUUGUAUCCUCGAGGUUAAUUUGCUUGGAACUCAUUUGCACACUGAAGAUAAGUGGGGGCGAAUAUAACCUUAAAGAUAGUGGCUUGAUACAUGCCUUGGAGCCUUGUCCUAUUUCUUCUUUUUCUUUUCGAGUUCCGAUCGUGUGUUCAAGAUUUUUCUUACCGGAGUUUUGUAAUAACAACCCCGCCACACCUUUCCAAAAUCUGUUGUCCGAUUUCCACAAAGGCUGAAUCUGUCGAGUCUGCAUAUAUUUGCUCAAAUGGUAUUUCUUUGAACAAAGACCAAGCAUCGAAAUCAGACAAGCCUUUUAGAACAUAAGGCUGACAUUUACUAGUGAUCUUGGCUACCUUAAAAGAGCGAGUAGUUACUAUUAUCCUACUUCCUUCAGCCCCACCUAUCAAUAACUCUUUUAAACUAACCCAAUUUUCCCGCUCUUCAUUCCAAAUGUCAUCCAAAACAAGUAAAUAUUUUUUCCCACCAAUUUUUUCUCGAAGUUGUAUUUGCAAUUGCUCCAUUUUGAGAUGUUGAUCUGGUGCUUGGCCAGUUGCAGAUUCGAUAAUGUUUUCUACAAUUAGUUUGACAUCAAAAACAUCCGAAACACACACCCAAAUCAUCAACUCAAAAUGAGUUUUGACCAUUUCAUCACUAUAGACAAACUGGGCCAAAGCAGUCUUCCCUAACCCUCCAAACCCCACAAUUGGAAUGAUGUAAACAUUCUCUUCACUUUCAAACUCUAGCACGAGUUUUUGAAGAGUUGCUUUAUCAUUAUCCCUCCCUAUUAUUUUAUCUUUAGGCACAAAAGAGUGUGUUUGCUGCCUCUUUUUAGUCAUGAAAGAGGUUUCCAAGGGGCGGUCACGCACCAUGAAGCCAAAAGUAUUGGCCUUACUUUCAAUUGAAGCUAAUCUAGCCUUAAUGGCCUUAAUUUUCCGACCUAUUUUGAGACCGUAAGCAAACUGAUUUGAGCUUGAGAAGAAAAGGCGUACCUCUUUCAUCAGCUUUUUCCCACCCAUUAGAUCUUUCCGCAAAGUUUCGGUAGAGAAAUCAUCAAGCAAGUCAUCGGCAUCAUAAAGUGCAUCUUUCAGCGCCUCAAGCCAAACUGUAAUGAGAUUGUUGGUCAUUGAUUUCUCUUCUGCAUCAAGGAUCACAGCUUUGAUGGUGGAGACAGUGGUUCCGAGGUCAUCGAGGUCAUCUUUGACAUUCCACCACAGUCCAAUUUGAGAGACAGCGAAGGAGCUCAAUUUAGUAAUAAGCUCUACGGCAAUGUCGAAAGCAAUUGCUUCGGCCAUUGUUGGUUCAAAAAAUGUUUGAUUACUGCAAGAGGAGGAGUAAAAUGAAAAUGAUUGGAACAAGAUGCAACACAGAUGCGGAUCCAUACAUGCAGAGACUUUUUAAGUAUUUUUAUAGAUGAAAAUAAUUUUGGUCCACCAUGUUUCAUGUUUGACACAAUUUUUAUAAAUUAAAUUAAAUUUUCCUUUUAUUUUUUCAUUCCAAUUGCUCUCCACCAAUGCAUUGAAAUUAUUCCCAUCACAUGCUGAAGGAAAUAAAAGCCAUAGAUGUAAUCAAAUUAUUAUAUACUAUGUGUCUUCUUGGAAAAAGGGCUUGAGGGAUGGUCUUUCUUUAUUCAUUUAUACAUCUUUAAAUGUCUUUUAUUUGGUAAUUAUUAUAAUGCAAACUUUGACAAAUAAAGGUAAUGAUGGAAAUUUUCUUAUUUUUUUAAAAAAUAAAGGUAUAAUAAUAUUUUUGGCUCUCUAAUUUUGUAAAAUAAUUAUUUUAGUCUUCUAUUUAUUUUCCCCUUCUUUUAGUCAUCAAACUCACAUUUUCUUUUAUCAAACCAUCCAAAAUGGAUUAAAAAGUUAAUGUUUGUUAACUUUGUUGACGUGGCACAUAGGUGGAUCACCCCAUGUAUGUCACAUUGGCAAUUAACUAAUUUAAAAAAAAUAAUUACUUGCUUAUGUGGCUUAUAUACAUGGCAAUGCCAAGUCAACAAAGUCGACAAAUGUUAAAUUUCCCACCCAUUUUAGGGUGAUUUGGCAGAAAAUGCAAGUUUAAAAGUUAAAAUAACUUUUUUUUGUAAAGUUAGAGGAUCAAAAGUGUCAUUAUGCCAAAAAAAUAAUUAUUUUCUUUUUUUGGUAUUUUUUUAUUGCUAUAAUUCUAAAUGGUGUGAAAUAGAUCCAUCAACUAAUUUUAUUAUUGUUAUUGUCGUUUUUAACCUCAUUAGAACUAAUCUCACUGUCCAUACAAAGAGAGUCCAAAUAUAAUUUGUUCAAUUUCUUAUAAAUAUGUUAAUGCUCUUUUGUAUGAUCAUUUAUCUCCGAUGAGUAGAGUUCAGCAAGAAAAAUAAAAAAUUAAAAUUCGAUCCGAACUAAGAUAUUUAGAUGAUUUAUGAAAUAUAAAUUAAAAAAUUAUGAUUACCCAAAAUCGAACCAAUUUUAGUUUUUUGAAAGGGAAAUUCAUUCUAUAAAUUUAAUUUUUUGACCAUAGCAUUAAGCACUACUUGAAAGAAAAACACUUGCAAUGAGAUUGACCAUAGCGCUCUUUUAUUAUAUUUUCCUUUUUAAAAAAAAACAAAAUAAAAAAUAUUAAUUUCAUAAUAAUGAAUAAAUAAAUGUAGCCUUAGCCCACUAAUUAGUGCAUGUUUUAUUUAUUCAAAAAGUGAGGCUAAAAAUCAUUGUUUUUCAAGUUAAAAUAAAAUACAAAAAUUAAGGUUAACAAACAUCAAUUUUCUAAAUUUAUAUGGUGCAACUAAUUACAUGGGCUUAAUUGCAAUUUUUUAAAAACAUUUCACGUACGGCUUUUUUUUUUAAAAGAACAAUAAUUUAAGUUGUAAAAUUUAUCAAUUUCAUUGUUUAGAUAUUUAGUUUUCAUUUAUAACUAUACAUAUUUAAGGAUUAAAUUAUUUGUUCAAUAUUCAAAUCGAGCCUUAAAUAAAUUAUUUUUUGAUUUAAAUACACAAAUGUAGAAUCACAACUUAGCUCGAUGUGUAUAGUUUCAAAAUUUUCUCAGGGUAGAACGUAACUAAAGUCAAGGUUCCCCCUGCCCCUCCCACAAAUUUAGAAAAUUUUCAUUAAGCCUUUAAUAUUUUUGAAAAUUUAAUUAGACCCUUCAAAAAAAUUUAAACUUUUUUUAUUAAUCCUCAACAUUUUCUUAUGCUUAAGUGAAGGGACAUCACAAAGGCAUAACUAUUUUUAAUACAAUUGAAUCAAAAUCAAAGUUACAUGUAUAUAUAUGAACCAUAAUUCAAGUUUCAUAUGGAUAACUGCACUAAAUCAAAAUUAAUAUAUCAUAUUGUACGUUGAAUCAAAGUUUGUAUAUAAAUUUAAUAAUUAUCCUUAAUAAUAAACAAAUAAAAAACUUGGACCCUUUCCUAAUAAAUAUAGGUAUAUUUAAAAGUAAAAAAGAAUUGUUACUACUUUAAUAAAAAAUUAAAACUAUUUAAAAGAGAAUACAAAUUAUUAAUAAUUCAGCAAUAAUAUGUUUGAUUAGGUUGAUUGAUUCAUUGAUUUUUAUGACCAAAAAGAAUAAUAAAAAAAUGAAAAUGAUGAAUCCCACUUACAAAAAAUAAAUAUAUAAAAUGCUACCAUACACAUUUCACCUAUAUCAAUCAUUUUAAUAAUAAGACAAAAGUAAAGUUAAAUUAUUGAUGCUCAAACACGUGGAUUAGUUAUUUUAUAAUUUUUUUUAAAAUUUAUUAAUAAUUCAGAAUAUUCAAAUGAAGUUGGAUUCGUAAUAAACAAAUGAACCCCACUUACAUAAAAGAAUAUUAAAAGUUGUGCACAACUUUUUCUUUCUUUAUUCAUUGCAUCAUCAACAAACAUAUAUAUAUAUAUAUAUAUAUAUCUUUUCUAAUCUUUUGACCCAUAACAGUAACUACUACCCAAAAAACCAAGUGUAAGAAAGAUGGUAACAACUAUAAGAUAAACGCAACUUUAUAUCAUGUGCAUAAAUGGUGUUUGUUGCAUACAGUCCAAGGAGAAGUGUUGAAUAUUGGCCUGCAAUGCAGCAAAAGACCAGCAGCAAUUCAGCAUGGAGACAAGCAGCAUCUCAACAUGAAGAUCAGCAUUGGAGUUGAACCGAAUGCUAUAACUUUUUUUAGUUUAUUUUGUUCAUUUUAUUCCUACGUAACUUUAUUUAUUUUCUUUGAAAUUUAUCCACAAAGUUAGUAGGAUUAGAUUUUGAUUUGAAUUUGAUGUAAUAGCUGAUAUGUAAGCUUACUUUUGUGUGUAAUUCAAGUUUGUAUUAGUCAUAUAUUAGUGGGAGCAGUUAUGUCAUUAGGUAACUGUCUAGUUAUGUAACUUACAUAUAUUUUCAAAAUUAUCAAUGAAAUUAUUUCAGUUUUUCGGUUAUCUUCUUGUUCAAACUCUAUUCUCUCAAUUUUUGCUUCAGUUCUUUUGUUUUGCUUUUGCUCUUGUUUUACUUUGCUUGCUUGCUGCCAAAGUUCCAACAAUUAAAUAUAUCCAUAUAUUGGUUAUAUUUUACAUCGAUUGCAAUAAUUUUCUUUACUGUUUCUAGUUGCCUCCUUAGCUACUAUUACUAGCUUUGAUGUGGAAGAAUGGAGGCCUUAAUAAAUAUAGAGAAUAUAAGGGAAAAAAAUAAAAGAAAAAGGAAGACAAAAACAUAAAAUCAAUGUUCAUGCCUUCAUGGAUAUAGACGAAGACAAAUGUAUAGUGGGCCUUAACUCAAAUAUAGUAAUAAUAUGGUUUGCAGUUUCCAGCAGCAACCAACUAAAACACAAAAAUAAAGAUUAGAUUACAUUUUUACAGCGAAAAGAAGCUGCAGUGUGUAACCCUUAGCAGGAAAGGUGCACAUAUGCAUGGCUAUGUUACCUUUAGAGGGUCAUAUUCUCUUACCGAUGUCUGUCGGACACCGAUAUUUGAAGAAAAAUAGUGAGUCAGAAAAUGCCAUUAUGUGGGAAGUUAAACCAAUCAUGGAUAAUUAUACAUUUAAUAAAAAUAAAAAUAAUUACAUAUUUAAAAAUAAUUAAAAAUAAUUAGAAUUUAAAUAGAGCUAUUAUUUGAAUAAAAUUAUAAGGGGAAAACUAGCAGAACAGGCUCGUUUUAAAAAUUAAUUAGGAAAUUAGGCCGUUUUCCCAAAAUUUAGGGAAAUAGGUCGAUUUUAGAAAGGGAAACAAAAAAUGUGUCCUGCUGGACGCAUUUUGUUCAACGAUAACUUUUCUGACGAUCAAAAUAUCCAACACCUAAUUUCCAACUUUUUUUUUCAAAUGGCUAAAUUUUUUUUCUAUUAGGUAGUUUAUUUGCUAUAUAUACCCAACUCAUUUUCUUUCUUUUGCAUUCAAAUCUUAUUCUCUCAAUCCUAUUUAUCUAUUCUCUCAAUUAUUUUAUUAUCAUUUUUUCAUUCAAUUUCUCUCAAAUUCUUAUUAUCCUACUUUUAUAUUUCAUAAUUUUAUUUUAUUUUAUUUUUUUAUAAUUUAAAAAAUGUAAAUGCUGCUUAUUCGUUUGGAUGACAAACACAUUUACGACACCUAAUUGCAAAUGGUAAGAAAAUAUUAUUAAAUUUUUUAAUUUUAAUUAAUAUAAUUAAUAAGUUGUUAACAUUAUUAAUUUUAUGGGUUUUUUAUGUUUAUAUAAUCAGACCGAAGAUUGAAUUAUCGAGAUGUACAUACAGAAUUUAAGUGGAAAGCACCACGUGUUAUUGAACAACACUUGCGAGAGGUUGGAUUCUUGCAUGUGUCUUGUAUGCUCAGGGGGACUAACUUGAAUUCUGCACUUAUUAGCGUUUUGGCGGAAAGAUGGAGAUCCGAUACACACAUUCCAUCUUCUGUGCGAUCAGUGUACAAUUAGACUCGAGAAUGUAGCAUUACAACUCGAUUUACCGAUUGAUGGGGUAGUCGUUACGGGGGUAGUAUGCGUUGGCGAUUGGAGCUCAAUUUUGUGAGUAACUAUUAGGCAAUGUGUCGGACAAGUUUAGUGAUAGCUAGCCAAAUAGAGAUGAAAUGGUUAGAAGACAAUUUCAACUAUAUCGACAACUCUACUAGUGGCAUUGAAAUACAACAACACGUAGGAACAUUCAUCCUGAGGUUAAUCGAGGGUCUUCUAAUGCCAGAUAAAUCUCGAAAUUUGGUACAUCUAAGGUGACUCCUAAAACUAGUCGACUUAAAAAAAGCAAGGCGACUUAGUUAGGGAUUUGGUGACCUCUUUCGAUUACAUGACAUGGUUUAGACUACAUGGUAAGCUAUAUUUAUUGCCGGAGGAGGAAAGUAGUAGGCAAUGUCAUUGUAGAAAGUCAAGACAACCCCUCAUAAGGCCGCAAUCGGGAGUACAUGUGUCGAUGGAAUCAUCAUCAGCUUCAACCCCACAUGAGGCAUCGAUGGGUGCACCACCUCCCAGUUAAUAUAGUUCAUAUUUAUCCGGUGCUUUCACUAACCCCAUUUUUUUUACACAAGCAUCGAAUGGAGUUUUCUGAGCCAAAGCCUUGGUUGGGAGCCUGUUUUGGAGGUAAACAACAGUGUUAACUGCUUCUGCCCAAAAUGACUUAGGCAAAUUUUUUUCAAACAUCAGGCAACUAGCCAUAUCCAUCAGGCUUCUGUUUUUUCUUUCACUUACACCAUUUUGUUGAGGUGUAUAAAUGUCGAUGAGCUGGUGUUUGAUGCCUACUUCAUCACAAAACGUAUUUAACCCGGAUGAAGUAUACUCAGUCCCAUUAUCAGACCUCAAUGUCUUCAACUUGCAACCUGUUUUAGUCUCUGCUGCAGCUUUAAACUUCAAAAAUACUGAAGCCACUUCUGAUUUCUGUUUCAAAAAAUAAAUCCAGCAAUAUCUCGAGUAAUCAUCAAUGAAUAAGAUGAAAUACCUGCUGCCAUUCAGAGAUUGAGUCUUCAUUGGACCACACACAUCAGUGUGUACAAGUUGCAGUCUUUCAGAAGCUCUCCAGGCUUUGUUUGUAGGAAAUGGUAGCCUAGCUUGUUUUCCUAGCUGACAUACUUCACAACUUCUUCCUUUUCAACUGAGUUAGUGAAGUUUUCAACUAAAUCUUCUUUGGUCAGCUGAGUCAUUGAGUUGUAGUUGACAUGGCCAAGUCUUUUGUGCCACAGCUUAGAUUCAUCUUGAAUGGCUGUAGAGGCAUUGUCUGAGCUCUUAUUCCAAUCCACCACAAAGCUUUUGUCAGCCAUGGUCACUGACAUGAGCUUAGAUCCAUUUGGAUCAUUGAUUAGGCACUCACUGCCUUUGAACACCACAGAGUAGCCCUUUUCUAGCAGCUGAGCUAUGCUAAGCAAAUUUCUGUCUAUUUCAGGCAGCAAAAGCACAUUUGAAACAAGUUUGGUACCUGUAGUAGUGUCAAUCAGCACAUCUCAUUUACCUUCUGCUUUGAUGAAGUGUCCAUUUCCAACCUUCACCCUUGUUUUAAAGCUUCUGUCAAUUUUCUUGAAGAUGGCAGCAUCAGGAGUCAUGUGGUUAGUACAUCCACUGUCAAUCAACCAUCCUUUUGUGGAUUUUCUAUUGGUAGAUGAACAAGAGACAGCAAAGACUUGCUCUUCUUGGUCACAGCCUUCUUCUGCUACUCGAGCUUCAGCUCUUGGCUGUUGAGGUUGAUUUGGCCUCUGUUUGCCUUUUUUUUGCAAACUUUGUCUGCAUGGCCCAUCUUUUUUGCAGAUUUUGCACUGCACAUCAGGUCUAAACCAACAUACUUCACCCGAAUGACUUAGCCUUUUGCAGUGUGGGCAAGGUGGAUAUUUUCUUGCACCAUCUGUCUUUGGCUUGUCUGACCAGGUUUUCUUCCCCUUGUAUCUAGAGGAGAUUGAGGCUGGUCUGGUUUUGGCUUGGAAGGCACAUUCUUGAUGCUCCUCCAGUCUACUUGCUCUCAUUUGCUCUUAAGCAUAAAGAGCAUUGAUCAGCUCUGUCAAAGAUAUGCUGGUCAAGUCCCUCAAGUCUUCAAGAGAUGAGAUCUUUGCUUCAUACCUUUCAAGUAAGGUUGAGAUCACCUUCUCUACAAUUCUUACUUCACUAAAUUGUUCUCCAAGUAGCCUUAUGCUGUUUACUACAGCCAUGAUUCUAUUUGAAUACUGCUUGAUAGUUUCUUCCUCUUUCAUCUUCAAGUUUUCAAAGUCCCUUCUUAAAUUCAGUAGUUGUUGUUGUCUUGUUCUUUCAGUCCCUUGGGACUCCUCCUUCAACUUAUCCUAGGCCUACUUUGGUGACUCACAAGCCAUGAUUCUUGUGAAAAUCACAUCAGAUACACUAUUCUGGAUACAUGACAUAGCUUUAUGCCUCUUUGUUCUUUCAUCAGCAUGCUGCCUGAUCUGAGCCACUGUUGGAUUGGCUCUGAGUGGUUCUGGUUCAACAUUUGAGUUGACCACUUCCCACAAAUUGAAUGCUUGCAGGUAGGUCUUCAUUUUCACUACCCAAAUAUGGUAGCCGUCUCCAUUAAAAAAUGGUGGUGCAGCUGGUGAGAAGCCUAAUGAAGUCAUGGUUGUAAGGAUUAAAAAUGACAGGUACACUAAGAAUAAGGCUCUAGAUACCAAUUGUUAGGUUUUGAAUACUUUAUCUGGAUGAAGUAUGAAGCUCAGUGUAAACUUGACCAACAACGUAAUUAAUCCGGAUAAAGAAUGAAGGAAGAUUAAGCUUUUAAAAAAUCUCUAUAUUUGCAGGAUAAACAAAACAGAAUUUUACUUGGUGAAAGAAUGCAAAAAUUGAGAGUAUUUUUCUUGGAAUGACUUCUAUUGAAAUUCAUUAAUUAAAAAAGAUGGCAUACUACCAAUACAUAUACCAGUCAUAAGCUGGUCAGCUUUGACAUGUUUCACUUACUAUUUUUAGGCUUCAUUGCAACUUGCACAACUUGCAAAUUACAACUUGUAAAAUUAGAUAAACUGAUAUAUCAAUCUUAUCAGCACCGAAUGCAUUAAAUACAUUACCUACUUAGUUCUAAUUUAACUAAGUUAUAAAAUAUUACAAAAGUAACCAAAAUGAAACAGAAAUUGAACAGUAGCAUUAACUUCAGUAGUUGCAUGUACUUCAUCCGGAAAUACUACUGCAGCUUAAUCUUCAUACUUUAUCUGCAUAACUUAUGUUGCACGGUCUGCUCCUUAGUUGCUUUAUCUACUGUAUGCAUGCCAACUUCAACAUUCAGCCUAUUUUCAAUUGUCAUGCUUGAAGUAGGACUCUUCCAAAAGCAACAACGAACCUGGAAACUAUAAAUGCCAAAAUAGAAUAUGUUAAAAUUUAUCUAUUUUAGACCAAGCUGUGUCUAAAUGUAGAAACACAUACUAUUACAAAACCCAACUUUAUAUCAUGUGCAUCAGUGGUGGCUAACCACAAACCCGUUGUCUAUGCUUUUCCAGUGCAAGCUUAACAAAGGGCCAAACAUUGGGCAUCAUCAUCAUCAUCUGUAAUGCUAACAAAUUCACAUCGCAGUUAGUAUUAAUAUAUUGUUGUUCAUCUAUAAAUAAUGAAAACAUUUUAUCAACUUCAAAAUUCUAACAGCUAAAAGGGGUGCCCUGCAUCAAAGAGUAUUGUGAAAUACCCCCUCUCCCCCCUCAAUUUUCAUCAAACCUUAACCCCCUAGCCCCUAUUCAAAUUACUUACUUGACAACCACAUUGCGUGUUUAAGCUCUCUCAAAUUGUUUAAGCUGGGUUAAGAGGUUAAGGAAAUUACAGAAUGAGAUAAUAUUCUAAUAAUAAAGAAAUAAAAAUCAUCAUCCCACUUAUAAAAAAACAAAUAAAUUUAUACUAAAAUAAUUAAAAUGCUACUACCAUUAAUAAUUAGUGGACUUUACCUUAAUUAAAUUGAAAAUAGCUCACAAGGCAAAAAUUAAAAAUAUAUAGACAUCUCUUCUCCCCUUGCAAGCUUGAGAUGUUGAGCUACGAUAAUUGUUGAAAUAAUACAAUCCCAUAUUAAAAAAAUACAAGGUCGUAGAGUGCUUGUACUAUUAUAAAUAAAUGCACUUUCUCCACUUUUAAAUCAUCUAAAAAAUUGACAUUUUCUUCAAAAGAAAUUUUCCCUCUUUCUAUUUGUAAAUCUUUAGCAAUGAAAUAUAUUUGGUUGUGUUUGAGGAUGUAAGUGUAAUUUGCUAAAUCUUGUUAAAUUUCUAGUCUUUUUUUAUUAUUAUGAUUUUCUAGAACAAUAAUUUACUUUCUUUUAUCUUAUUUGCACAAUACUAUCUUUAUUCAUAUAAUAUUAAUUUUACCCAAAAUUUUCUUCUUCAACAAAGAAACUAAUGCUCAAUUAAAACAAAAACCCUAAAAUAUGAAAGUUCAUGGAAGAUAAAAGGAAGACACCGGAUCUAGGUAUAAUUGUUUUGUAUUGCAAGGCAUCCAUAUUUUCAUCCUCAACAUUUGGUAUGUGAAGGGAGCUAAGCUAAGCAUUCAACCAAUCAUUAGGUACUAAGCGCUUUCAUUAAAUGAUAAUUUUAGAUAAUGUACAUAAAUUUGUCUGAUAAUUAGUUGUGUUUCCAUGUAUUGGAACAUUAUCAAAAACAUAAGAAGAGAAAAAUGUAGGUUUUCUUAAGUUAGACACACACACAAGUAAAAAUAAAGAAGAAUAAAAAACACAACCAAGAUGUUUACGCAGUUCGGAACUCAUCCUACGUCUGCCGGACCUUGUCCAGAGAUGAAUUCACUAUGAACUUUACAAUACAAAUAAAUUAUUUAUGUCCAACCCUCCAAACUUGGUGCAACCUCACCUUUGUACAAUUAACUAAACACUCUUCCAACUUUAGCUAUACAAAGGAAAAUCAACACUGAAAAAGUGGCACUUAAUAAUAGUUCCUUUAAAUCCACACAUCACCCACGAAACAGAUCAUCUAUAUAUAUAAGCUCCAGGAUCAACCAAGCUUUACAUAAAUAUUUCUUCUGAAUCUCAAUGCGAUGAGACAUUGCAAUCCUCGAAAGAAAGAAAGGAAGAACUUGGGUAAUGGCAGGGUGUUUCUUAGUGAGCUAAAGAUAUCAAGAUCUCCAAGGUGGCUUCUAGCCCAUCAAUUUUCUCUAUAUAGCAACAAUGAGCCUGCAAAUUAUAAAUGCCAAUAUAUAUUAUGUUAAAAUUUAUGUCAUUUAGACUGAGCAGUGUCCUAAUAUAGAAGAAACACUUACUUUUACCAAAUAGAACUUUAUAUUAUGUGCAUGAAUGGUGGCUAACCACAAAGCCGUUGUCUAUGAUUUUCCACCGUAAGUUUUAUAAAAGGGCCAAACAUUGGGCAUUGUCAUCUGUAAUAGUAACAAAUUCCCAUUUCCAUUAGUCUUCACACCUCAAAACCUACUGCAAAAGAGAUUUAAUUAUUUUUUACUAAAAUACUCACCAUUAUCAGCCUUACAUAUGUGCUCUUUUAAAUCCACUCACUCAUGGAACAAAUUAUCUAUAUAUAAGCUUCGGGAUGGACCAAGCUUUGCAUAAGCUCCAUCUAAACUGAAAUAACAAAUUUUCAAAUGCAAUAUCAUUCAGCCUAUCUUCAGUUGUCAUGCUUGAAGAAAGACUUCCAAAAGCAACAACGAACCUGGAAACUAUAAAUGCCAAUAUAGAAUAUGUUAAAAUUUAUCUAUUUUAGACCAAGCUGUGUCCAAAUGUAGAAACACUUACUGUUACAAAACCCAACUUUAUAUCAUGUGCAUCAAUGGUGGUUAACCAGAAACCCAUUGUCUAUGCUUUUCCUGUGCAAGCUUAACAAAGGGCCAAACAUUGGGCAUCAUCAUCAUCAUCUGUAAUGAUAACAAAUUCACAUCCCGGUUAGUGUUAAUAUAUUGUUGUUCAUCUAUAAAUAAUGAAAACAUUUUAUCAACUUCAAAAUUCUAACAGCUAAAAGGGGUGCCCUGCAUCAAAGAAUAUUGUGAAAUAUCCCCCUCUCCCCCCUCCAUUUUCAUCAACCCUUAACCCCCUAGCCCCUAUUCAAAUUACUUACUUGACAACCACAUUGCGUGUUUAAGCUCUCUCGAACACAACUCCAAGAAUCUGUCAAUAGCAUAGGUACCAUAUAAGCUGCUGGCAUAUUUAUUACAACUCUUGAAAUACUCCAUUUAUAUAAUUUAUAUCAGAUAAAUUGUGAAUUAUAAGGAAACUGAUGACAUAUAUUACCAUUUUUGUUUUGUUGGAAUAUUUUGGCAGAUGAAUAGAUGGUAGUUGAACAUAUAUUACCUCUGCUUCUUGUAAUAUCUGCUAUGCUCUGCCGAAGAAGAGAGCGAAAAUCUAACAAAAAUUAGGAUUAGAUCAUCAGAGGGACUCUUCAACAAAGAAAAAAAAGAAAAAGGAAAGAACAAAUGUGCAUAGAGAGGAGGAUUUCAUGGGAGUACAAUGCAUGGACAGAUCAGCUGAUGAAAUUGUGAGAUUGUUUUGAUUUAAACACCUCCUUUUCUGCAUCUAAAUUCUUAAAGUUAUCAAAUGGCUUUCAGAAAAAUACAGGCCAAUGGAAUAUCUGGGCAGAUAAACAAAUCCGGGUAGAAAGUAUGGUCUCUGCUUCUUGUAUUGCAUGCUAUGCUCUUCCGAAGAAUAGACUUCACACUAAAUCUAAAUUAUUGGAUUUUGUUUUAUUGAAUCAAAUAGAAAAUAGAAGAAAAGAAAUGAGUGAUAUGAAUUACCUCUCAUUCCUUGUUGGUGUAUACACAAUAGGAUUUCAUCACAUCAUUGCAAUGGUGAGAAAAUUAUAAAAAAAAAUUAGUGGAAGAUAAAAGAAGACAUUGGUAAUUUAAUGGAGCUAAGCUAAGCAUUCAACCAAUCAUUUUAUUAGCCUCACCUCCAAUUAUUCUGAAGCAAGAUUCUUUCCUGUUUCAACCCCAACCCUGUUUAGUUUCCUUACUUGACAAGGACAUUGCACGUUUAAGCUCUCUCAGCAUGCCUCUAACAAGAACCUCCCAAUAGCAUAGGGUACCAUCUAAGCUAGUAGUCAUUUGGUAUAUGUAUUACAACUCUUGACAUACUCCAUUUACAUCAUUUAUAUCAGAUCAAUUAGAGAUUAGGAGGAAAUUGGUGACAUAUCUUACCAUUUUUUGUUGUUGGAAGUUUUGGCAUAUAAACAAAUCGUAGUAGAAAUUAUGGUCUCUGCUUCUUGUAAUGCAAGCUAUGCUCUGCCGAAGAAAUCUAACAAAAAAUAAGAUUAGAUCAUCAGAGGGACUCUUCAACAAUGAAAUUCAGAAUAAAUCUACAAAAUUUGUGUCAUUCUUCAAAAAAGAAAAAACAAAAGAAAACAAAAAAUGUGCUUACGGAGGAGUAGAAUGCCAUAGACAGAUCAGCUGAUGAAGAAUGCUGAAAAAGAAGAAGCUUAGUUACGGGGUUAUAUUAGAUCAUUGAAAUUGCGAGAUUAUUAUGAUUUUAAAGUGUAAGGCAAUUCCAUCAUUACCCCAUCUUUUUCUGAAUCUAAAGUUGACAAAUGCCUUUCCCCAAUGCCUUACUGCACAAAUUAGCAAAAUAUUAUGAAAGAUGGUAAGUAAAAUGUAGGACUAAAACAAAGGAAUUUCAAUUGAAUAAUAUUUUAACAGUAAGCUUCCAACUUGAAUGAUAUUUGAAUGAAAAAUAGCAUGAGACACCAGAGUUAUCAAACCUGAUUAACCACUCAAUUUUUUCUUGAAAAUAAAUUAAGGUCAUAAAAAUAAAUAAAUGGAAAGGACAUACCAACCUGAUUACAACUGAAUACAUGAGAUGUGAGCAAUUUUAUGCCAAUCAGCGCCAAUGUCCUUCCGACAUCUGUCCUCCAACUGAGGAACUCCAUAUAUAUUUAACAAUUGCAAAUUGAUUAGGCAACGCAUCUCGUCCGGAAGCGAUGUUAAAUUGGGCAAAUUCCAGAGAUGGAGCUCUUGCAGAUUUGUUAGAUGUUGAAUCCACUCCGGAAGUUGCCAACACUUCGGGAUUUCAGCCAGCCAUAGAGAGCGCAGGCUUGUAUGAUCUUGGAAUAUUUGGAACCUAGGUGCUGAUAACUCCAGCUCCUUGCAAUCACUUAUUAAAAACUCUUCAAGGGAAGUGAGAUGUUGGAACACAGGAAAGAGUGACCUCAAUCCACUGCAAUCACGGAUUUCUAAUGUUUUCAAUUCAACAAGAUGUUGAAGCCCAAUGGGGAGAGAAACCAGCUUUGGAAUAAAUAUAAUCUCCAAAUAAUAGAGAUUCUUAAGGGGCUCCCAUUGAAUGCCCUCUAAAUCAACCUUCGUGCAACCAUCUAUUGUUAAUGUUUUGAGGCUGGAGAGAUGUUGCAGGUAUUCAUCUAGCAUGGGAGUGUCCAAAUCCUUCAUAUUCUUUACAUGGAAAGAUUUCAAUUUGGAGAGAGGAAGAGAAGAGGUUGAACUUGAUGGGGUCUUAGCAUUCAUGUUCAUCCUGAUAGUCUGCUUAAGCGGCCUUGAACUGGUAUUCACCAACCUUAGAUGAUCAUCGACUGAUGGAUACAACGGCAUUGAAGUCAAAGGGCAAUUCUCCAUCCAUAAAGUGGAAAGACAAGGAAAUGCCAUGGUUGACGUUCCCAUAACUGUUGUGUCGUCCUCGUUGGAAUCAUCUAUUGGUUUUGUCGUCCUCCACCAACUCUUCAUAUUCCGGCAAUUCUCGAGGUGAAGAUACUUGAGCGAUGGGAAGAAUGAUUCUGGCUCUCCUUGACUUCCUUUUGGGCUAUUAUCUUCCAUGUACUCCAGCUCAGAACAAUCACGAAUCGUCAAAUCUUGAAGACAAGGCAAUUGAGCAACGGACGGGAGAUAUUUGAAUUUAUUGGGACCCAGUAUGGUAAUAUCAACGAGAUUUGUGAGCAAAGAAAGCCAACUUGGAAAUUUGGCAUCACCCCCCCAUCCAUAGAUAUGGAGCUUCUUGAGAUUAGGAUGGGGCUGGAGGUCUUCAAGCAACUUAUUGUCAUCAUCAUCGUUAUCACCGUUCCAUUCUAAAAUCAACGAUCCCAAAUGUUGCUUCCCUUUCAAAAUAGGAAUCUUAAACUUCUCUUUUGCAUUUUUUACAAAUCUCAAAUUUUCUAUUCUAAGUUGUCCCCUUAAGUUGUUAAGCCCACUCAAUUCACUUAGAUCUGCACCGUCAUGGGAACCAUCCGUAUCCACUACAAACUUGGUUAACUCCUCAAGUGAAGUCAGCUUCCCUAUUCCACGUGGCAUGUGAGUUAAAUCAUCACAUCCAUAACAUGUAAGAUGGGUAAGAUUCACCAAUUUUUCAAUCUUCUUCAGUAAUUCUUUAAGCGAAUCACAGUAGUCAAGUUUCAGCACUUGCAAAUUUUGUAUCUUGCAAAUACUCUUUGGGAGAAUCUUAAGAUUAUUGCCAGAAAGAUCAAGGUACCUCAAAUGUUUCAGCUUAUGAAUGGAAAGUGGAAUUGUAGUAAAUUCAAAAUAAUCCAAUUUUAAGACACGCAAGCAUCUAUAAUUUGAAAUUAUAAAAUGCCAAAUUUCGUCCCCCUUACAUUGAUGUCUCGCAUUUGAAAAUUGUAACAAGGUUCGCAACUUCUUUCCUUUAAAUAAAGGAUUUAAUGGUUGUUCAUUAAUUGAUAUAUGACGACAUUUUUCAUCAACCUCACUUGCACUUGAAUUUGAAUCUACAAUACUACUCUCUUUCCCUGCUACCAAUUCAGCUAGAUCAUGCAUUAAAUCAUGCAUUUUACAUAUCAUAAAGUGUCUUUCUUUUACUUCUUGAAAGAAACUUCUUUCAGCUAAUUCUUUAAAAUACCCAAACCCAAUCUCUUGAAGAGAUUGUGUUCCAUUUGAUUGUGUUACGAAACCUUGUGCAACCCAAAAUUGAACAAGCGUUUGUACAUCAAUUUCAUAAUCUUUUGGAUACAAUCGACAAUAAGCAAAGCAACGCUUCAAAUAGGCCGGGAGAUGAUCAUAACUCAACUUAAGUGUAGGUAGAAUAUUACCUUCGUUUUGAGAUAUUUUAGCAAGUUCAUUAUCUUUGAAAGAACGCCAGUCCUUUUCAGUUUCUUUGUAAGAUAAUGUACUUGCUAUCGUCCUUAUGACUAACGGAACCCCACCACACCUUUUCAAAAUCUGUUGUCCUAUUUCCACGAAGGCUGAAUCUGUUGAGUCAGCAUAUCUUUGCUCAAAUGCUAUUUCUUUGAACAAAGACCAAGCAUCGUAAUCAGACAAGCCUUUUAGAACAUGAGGCUGACAUUUACCAGUGAUCUUGGCUACCUUAAAAGAGCGAGUAGUUACUAUUAUCCUACUUCCUUUAGCCCCAUCUAUCAAUAACUCUUUUAAACUAACCCAAUUUUCCCGCUCUUCAUUCCAAAUGUCAUCCAAAACAAGUAAAUAUUUUUUCCCACCAAUUUUUUCUCGAAGUUGUUUUUGCAAUUGCUCCAUUUUGAGAUUUUGGUCUGGUGCUUGGCCAGUUGCAGAUUCGAUAAUGUUUUCUACAAUUAGUUUGACAUCAAAAACAUCCGAAACACACACCCACAUCAUCAACUCAAAAUGAUUUUUGACCAUUUCAUCAUUAUAGACAAACUGGGCCAAAGCAGUCUUCCCUAACCCUCCAAACCCCACAAUUGGAAUGAUGUAAACAUUCUCUUCACUUUCAAACUCUAAAACGAGUUUUAGAAGAGCUGCUUUAUCAUCGUCCCUCCCUAUUAUUUUAUCUUUAGGCACAAAAGAGUGUGUUUGCUGCCUCUUUUUAGUCAUGAAAGAGGUGUCCAAGGGGCGGUCACGCACCAUGAAGCCAAAAGUGUUGGCCUUCCUUUCAAUUGAAGCUAAUCUUGCCUUAAUGGCCUUAAUUUUCCGACCUAUUUUGAGACCGUAAGCAAACUGAUUUGAGCUUGAGAAGAAAAGGCGUACCUCUUUCAUCAGCUUUUUCCCACCCAUUAGAUCUUUUCGCAAAGUUUCGGUAGAGAAAUCAUCAAGCAAGUAGUCGGCAUCAUAAAGUACAUCUUUCAGCUCCUGAAGCCAAACUUUAACUAAAUUGUUGGUCACUGAUUUCUCUUCUGCAUCAAGGAGCACAGCUUCGAUGGCGGAGACAGUGGUUCUGAGGUCAUCGAGGUCAUCUUUGACAUUCCACC